rnacentral:rRNA from 1 species
CACGCAGUAAACGAUGCAGACUAGGCGUGGGAGGACUUGACCCCUUCCGUGCCGGAGCUAACGCACUAAGUCUGCCGCCUGGGGAGUACGGCCGCAAGGCUAAAACUCAAAGGAAUUGACGGGGGCCCGCACAAGCGGCGGAGCGUGUUCUUUAAUUCGUCGCAACGCGAAGAACCUUACCAGGGUUUGACAUAUCGCUGCAUGCCCUAGAGAUAGGGAGGCCUACGAGGGUGCGAUACAGGUGC